GAGGGUGUAGCUCAGUGGUAGAGUGUGUGCUUAGCAUGCAUGAGAUCCUGGGUCCAAUUCUCAGUGCCUCCA
rnacentral:tRNA from 1 species